rnacentral:snRNA from 1 species
GGAUGUGAGGGCGAUCUGGCUGCGACAUCUAUCACCCCAUUUAUCCCAGAGUUGAUUCGGCUAAUCUGGCUGGCUAGGCGGGUGUCCCCUUCCUCCCUCACCUCUCCAUGUGCGUCCCUCCGGAAGGACAGCCUUCCCCGAAGAGACUGACUGUCUUAGGCUGAGGGUAUACAAGUAGCUACCAUGCCCUGCUAGAACCUCCAAACAAGCUUUCAAAUCAAAUAUUUUCACUCAGCCCCAUCGAAGAGCACUGUCUCAUCUCCUCUAGCAUCCUUCUCUACCAAAAUUUCCUUGCUUACUACAAAGCAGUAAACUUUU